rnacentral:rRNA from 1 species
AACGAACGCUGGCGGCAUGCCUAACACAUGCAAGUCGAACGAGACCUUCGGGUCUAGUGGCGCACGGGUGCGUAACGCGUGGGAACCUGCCCUUAGGUUCGGAAUAACUCCCCGAAAGGGGUGCUAAUACCGGAUAAUGUCUUCGGACCAAAGAUUUAUCGCCUUUGGAUGGGCCCGCGUUGGAUUAGCUAGUUGGUAGGGUAAAAGCCUACCAAGGCGACGAUCCAUAGCUGGUCUGAGAGGAUGAUCAGCCACACUGGGACUGAGACACGGCCCAGACUCCUACGGGAGGCAGCAGUGGGGAAUAUUGGACAAUGGGCGAAAGGCUGAUCCAGCAAUGCCGCGUGAGUGAUGAAGGCCUUAGGGUUGUAAAGCUCUUUUACCCGGGAUGAUAAUGACAGUACCGGGAGAAUAAGCACCGGCUAACUCCGUG